AAGGCCUGAAAACGGAGACGGCCAGGACGUGGGGCUGCGGGAGGGGCCAGCUCCCCGGGGGCGCCUCCCUGCGGAGCAGGAGCGCCCCGGACGCCACCUGAUCUCACUGGGGUCCCGAAAGGGGACCUGCGCCCCCGCCCCCCUUCAAGCGACCCUUUUGAAGACGGGCGGGAAGAAUCUGGCUGCAGAAGCCUGGCUCCGAUGGAGAGCCAGCUGCUUUUUGCAGACAGGCUGGGGCCGUGGGCAGUGAGGAGGGCCGGCAGUUCCAGGGGGAAGACCUUUCCCUCCUGGGAGGUUGCACCUGGCUGCAGGCGCUGCCUGGAGUGGAAGAAAGACGACCGGACAUAGCACUGAACACCAGCCUUUGAAAACAAUGCAAGCUUGCCCCUCCCCUGAUCCUUAUCUGCAGCCCUGUUUUUCACUCCCCAAACUAUAAAACUCUAAUAAAACUGCCUCCCAAUCUCUGCUAAGGGGGUGGCACCGUCUUCAAGGCACUAGACUGCGGCGACCUUCCUUUGCCUGGCAAAGCAAUAAAGCUAUUUUUAUCCCUUCGCCCAAAUCCCUGUCUCCACGUUCCCAUUCAGCACUAGUGAGCAGAGAUCAAGUUGGGGUGACAAGGUCAGGGCAAGUUGCUGUGCCUGAAGCGCCGUGGAGCCCAACAAAUCCACACAAUGGAGUUUGGAGCAGCGAAAGGUUUAUUACAGGCCAUGCAAGGAGAUUGCGGGGAGGUGGGGGGCGGGGGGUGGGGCGGGGGCUUGCUCCUGCCCCAAAAGCCCAAACUCCCGAACAAAAUUGUAAAGCAUUUUUUAAAAAUUUUACUUUAUUUUAUAAUUACUUUUUUUGGGGCUUGGUCU
rnacentral:lncRNA from 1 species